rnacentral:lncRNA from 1 species
UCUGAAAUGAUUGGGAAGAUGUCCCCUUCUGAACUGCAAAAUAUGAUGGAUUUUGCUUCUAAAAUGGGUGGGCCUGGUAGUGCGCCUGUGAGACCAGGGACUGGGAGUAAUAUCCGACCUUCAUCAAGAGCAGAAACGAGUAGCAAUAACUUCCAACCUUCAUCUUCGCAAACUGUUGCGGAGAACCCUGAUGAAAUAGUAAACAACCAAAGUAUGGACCAUUCAUCAUCCAGUUCCCCAGUUUCUACAGCUGAUAUGCAAGAAACCAUGAGAAAUUCUAUGAAAGACCCUGCUAUGCGGCAGGUAAAAAUCUUUUAGCCCAAGGAAUUUGUUUUUUGUGAAGAUUUUUCAUCAGGGAAGAAGCUUAGGUUAUGGAUUUUAACAUCUCUUAAAACUUUUCUAAAUUAACAGAUGUUUGCAUCCAUGAUGAAGAACAUGAGUCCUGAUGUGAUGGCAAACAUGAGUGAGCAGUUUGGCAUGAAGCUGUCGAAGGAGGAUGCCGCCAAAGCUCAACAAGCUAUGUCUUCAUUAUCUCCAGAAGAUUUAGACAGAAUGGUGAGAAGCUAAUUAAAAAAAAAACUCUCCUCUGAGCUGUGUGCAGACAAUGGGCAUAUAUUUUACUUCCGAUUAGCUGUCAGAGUUCAGUUAAGACUUCUUAGAUUAUUAACCUCUGCUUGCUUUGCAUUCAGAUGAAAUGGAUGGACAGAGCACAGCAGGGAGUAGAAGUAGCAAAGAAGACGAAGAACUGGCUCCUAGGCAGGAAAGGCCUGAUCCUUGCUAUUGUCAUGCUGAUCUUGGCCUUCAUCCUACAGCGCCUUGGAUUCAUCGGUAGGUAGGUGAUGGCCUAAACAUCGCAUAUGAUGCCCUGUCGAGCAGUGCUCCGGCAACAAAUAACUAUUCGGCAGCUACAUUAUGCUCGUUUUCCCUGGCUAGAAGUGAUAUGGUGGGCGGAUGACAAUGUGGAAGCACCGUGGGAAGAGUCGAGAACUUUUUGUACCAUUGUUUAUUCUUUCGGCAUAUGUGUUUAUAAAUUGUACUAUUAUUAGAAGUAAAUGGUCCAGUAUUGCCAUUUGGACAGUAGGCUGACUUGUAAUGUUACGAAUGUCCUAUGUUAUUUCGCACCAAAGAAUUUCGUGUCCAUAUUCACUAUCCAGGCCAGAAGUUGUUAGACGUGGACGCCAUUUUGGGUGGCAAUUUUAAAAAUCGUGUCUCGCACGUUUGCAAAGGUAUAACUUUUGACCAAAUACCCGUCUACCUGUAAGGAGGUUGGUUUUGUAUAAGUUCUUUUGACCCUAAACCCUAUCUAUAUUUUGCAAAUGGGGUGUAGUUCUAUCUGCAAAGGUUUAACUUUGACCGGAUAUGUGUCAACCUGUAAGGAGGUUAGUUCAUUUUACAAGUUAUUUUGCAAAUGCUGUGUAUCUCUAUUCGAAAAUAAAAAUAGGAUCAGCAUUUAAAAAUAAUAAUAGGAUCGGAUCUUAUUGUUCUCUACUUGUCCGGAUAAAAAAUAGGGGGAUCGACAUGAUCAUGGUAUGUUUGAUCACGCACAUGAUAGUGAUGAGAAUUGAAAAACAAAUAGGAGGAUAAAAAAUAGGGGGAUCGACAUGAUCAUGGUAUGUUUGAUCACACACAUGAUAGUGAUGAGAAUUGAAAAACAAACAGGGGGAUCGACAUGAUCAUGGUAUGUUUGAUCAUGCACAUGAUAGUGAUGAGAAUUGAAAAACAAAUAGGGGGAUCGACAUGAUCAGGCCAGAAGUUGUUAGACGUGGACGCCAUUUUGGGUGGCAAUUUAAAAAUUCGUGUCUCGCACGUUUGCAAAGGUAUAACUUUUGACCAAAUACCCGUCUACCUGUAAGGAGGUUGGUUUUGUAUAAGUUCUUUUGACCCUAAACCCUAUCUAUAUUUUGCAAAUGGGGUGUAGUUCUAUCUGCAAAGGUUUAACUUUGACCGGAUAUGUGUCAACC